GAUGAACGCUGGCGGCGUGCCUAAUACAUGCAAGUCGAGCGAAUGGAUUAAGAGCUUGCUCUUAUGAAGUUAGCGGCGGACGGGUGAGUAACACGUGAGUAACCUGCCCAUAAGACUGGGAUAACUCCGGGAAACCGGGGCUAAUACCGGAUAACAUUUUGAACCGCAUGGUUCGAAAUUGAAAGGCGGCUUCGGCUGUAACUUAUGGAUGGACCCGCGUCGCAUUAGCUAGUUGGUGAGGUAACGGCUCACCAAGGCAACGAUGCGUAGCCGACCUGAGAGGGUGAUCGGCCACACUGGGACUGAGACACGGCCCAGACUCCUACGGGAGGCAGCAGUAGGGAAUCUUCCGCAAUGGAUGAAAGUCUGACGGAGCAACGCCGCGUGAGUGAUGAAGGCUUUCGGGUCGUAAAACUCUGUUGUUAGGGAAGAACAAGUGCUAGUUGAAUAAGCUGGCACCUUGACGGUACCUAACCAGAAAGCCACGGCUAACUACGUGCCAGCAGCCGCAGUAA
rnacentral:rRNA from 1 species